rnacentral:rRNA from 1 species
AUUGAACGCUGGCGGCAGGCCUAACACAUGCAAGUCGAGCGAGCGGCGGACGGGUGAGUAAUGUAUGGGGACUGCACGAUAGAGGGGGAUAACUACUGGAAACGGUGGCUAAUACAGCAUACUAGCAGAUAAGCCAUCUGGGAUUAGCUAGUAGGUGGGGGAAAGGCUCACCUAGGCGACGAUCCCUAGCUGGGAGGAGAGGAUGAUCAGCCACUCUGGGACUGAGACCCGGCCCCGACUCCUACGGAUGCAGCAGUGGGGAAUAUUGCACAAUGGGCGCAAGCCUGAUGCAGCCAUGCCGCGUGUAUGAAGAAGUCCUUAGGGUUGUAAAGUACUUUCAUCUGGGAGGCGUUACCCGCAGAAGAAGCACCGGCUAACUCCGUGCCAGCAGCCGCGGUAAUAC